UACGUAGGGUGCGAGCGUUAAUCGGAAUUACUGGGCGUAAAGCGUGCGCAGGCGGUUGCUGAAGUCCGUUGUGAAAGCCCCGGGCUUAACCUGGGAAUGGCAGUGGAAACUAGGCGACUUGAAUCUGGCAGAGGGGGGUGGAAUGCCACGUGUAGCGGUGAAAUGCGUAGAUAUGAUGUAGAACACCGAUUGCGAAGGCAGCUUACUAAACAGAUAUUGACGCUGAGGCACGAAAGCGUGGGGAUCAAACAGG
rnacentral:rRNA from 1 species